UUCAUUUUUUUUUUUUUUUCAUUUUCUCUUUGGGGCUUGAAAACCGGUUGGAGGGAAAUGAUAUUUCAUUUCCCCUCCAACGCUGACCCCCCCUCUCUCUCUCUCUCUCUGAAAUUUCUCCUCCGUCAGCUUCCCCGUCCCUCUCGGCGUCCGGCGUCCAUCUCCGGCAAUCCCCUCUCUCUCUCUCUCUCUCUCUCUCUCUCAACUGCAUCAUCCGUACAGUCCCCGUCCCUCUCGGCGUCCGGCGUCCCUCUCUCUCUGCAUCGUCCGGUCGUCUCUUCGCCGGCUUCUCUCUCAGCGGUCGGCCUCCUCUCUCGGCGUCCGGCGGUCGUCUCCGGCAGAUUUCCUCUCUCUCAGGCAGAUUUCCUCUCUGCAUCGUCCGUAGCUCACUCGCCGGUAGUCCCCGUCCCUCUCGGCGGUCGGAGUCGUCCGGUGUCGUCCGGCGUCCCUCUCUGACUAAAAAAAAAUAGGGGUUUUGCCAGUAUGGAGAUUCUUGCAAAUAUUUUCAUCCGAAUAACAACUUACCAAAUGUGAAUGCUCAAGGUGUAUCAGGUAGGUAGUCAAGACAUUGGACUAUGCCGAAAGUGUAAAAUUGCAGUAUCGCUCACUCGCCAAGGUUUCAGAUGACCCAUCCUUGAAGCCAAUGUCAAGCAAGAUGGCACUAAACUGGCUCUAGAGUUGCAGCAUACCAAAUGGAAAUGUUGUAUAACGCAUACUUUACCAAUAUCCCACCCUAGAAAUAUUUUGUAACUCUAUAGAGGAAGAGGGUUCUUGCUUGUACUUGUAUUGUUGUAUUUCUUACAAGCUAACAUCAUGAUUAUUCACAAAAGAAUACACAAAGACAUUUUGUUUGUACUCCACUGAGGGAUGCUGUCUACGUUCAUGUAGCCAAGCGACCCUAUGACUGGUUCGGGAAGAGUGAGGAUUGCUUAGUUUUGCAAGAGAAAGAGCUGCUUGAACGUUUCAUUGAUAGGGAAGAAAUGAUGGACAAGAGUAAAUCAGAUUUGUGAUUAGCUUUUUAAAUGCCAUCAGCCAUAUUUUGUUUGUAUAUGCAUUGGUUGAUAUUCUUAAGGGAACAUAUAAAUAUAAUGUUGUAAAUGUGGGGUGUAGCUUGGCAAAGCUUUUUUUGUCCUAAGUGGGUGUUAUAUUACUAGGAUUACAGAUGAUCAGAUACUAUGCAACGUAAUUCAACACUUACCUUU